rnacentral:rRNA from 1 species
CCUACGGGCGGCUGCAGUGGGGAAUAUUGGACAAUGGGGGCAACCCUGAUCCAGCCAUGCCGCGUGUGUGAAGAAGGCCCUUGGGUUGUAAAGCACUUUCAGUGAGGAAGAACGCCUGGUGGUUAAUACCCAUCAGGAAAGACAUCACUCACAGAAGAAGCACCGGCUAACUCCGUGCCAGCAGCCGCGGUAAUACGGAGGGUGCGAGCGUUAAUCGGAAUUACUGGGCGUAAAGCGCGCGUAGGUGGCUUGAUAAGCCGGUUGUGAAAGCCCCGGGCUCAACCUGGGAACGGCAUCCGGAACUGUCAAGCUAGAGUGCAGGAGAGGAAGGUAGAAUUCCCGGUGUAGCGGUGAAAUGCGUAGAGAUCGGGAGGAAUACCAGUGGCGAAGGCGGCCUUCUGGACUGACACUGACACUGAGGUGCGAAAGCGUGGGUAGCAAACAGGAUUAGAUACCCGAGUAGUC